AUUGAACGCUGGCGGCAGGCUUAACACAUGCAAGUCGAGCGGGGUGAUGUAGCUUGCUACAUUACCUAGCGGCGGACGGGUGAGUAAUGCUUAGGAAUCUGCCUAUUAGUGGGGGACAACAUUCCGAAAGGAAUGCUAAUACCGCAUACGCCCUACGGGGGAAAGCAGGGGAUCUUCGGACCUUGCGCUAAUAGAUGAGCCUAAGUCAGAUUAGCUAGUUGGUGGGGUAAAGGCCUACCAAGGCGACGAUCUGUAGCGGGUCUGGGAGGAUGAUCCGCCACACUGGGACUGAGACACGGCCCAGACUCCUACGGGAGGCAGCAGUGGGGAAUAUUGGACAGUGGGCGAAAGCCUGAUCCAGCCAUGCCGCGUGUGUGAAAAAGGCCUUUUGGUUGUAAAGCACUUUAAGCGAGGAGGAGGCUACCGAGAUUAAUACUCUUGGAUAGUGGACGUUACUCGCAGAAUAAGCACCGGCUAACUCUGUGCCAGCCGCCGCAGUAAUAC
rnacentral:rRNA from 1 species